rnacentral:rRNA from 1 species
CUACGGAACUCCUACGGGAGGCAGCAGUGGGGAAUUUUGGACAAUGGGGGCAACCCUGAUCCAGCAAUGCCGCGUGAGUGAAGAAGGCCUUCGGGUUGUAAAGCUCUUUUGUCAGGGAAGAAACGGCGGAGGCUAAUAUCCUCUGCUAAUGACGGUACCUGAAGGAUAAGCACCGGCUAACUACGUGCCAGCAGCCGCGGUAAUACGUAGGGUGCAAGCGUUAAUCGGAAUUACUGGGCGUAAAGCGUGCGCAGGCGGUUGUGCAAGACAGAUGUGAAAUCCCCGGGCUCAACCUGGGAAUUGCAUUUGUGACUGCACGGCUAGAGUGUGUCAGAGGGGGGUAGAAUUCCACGUGUAGCAGUGAAAUGCGUAGAGAUGUGGAGGAAUACCGAUGGCGAAGGCAGCCCCCUGGGAUAACACCGACGCUCAUGCACGAAAGCGUGGGGAGCAAACAGGAUUAGAAACCCGUGUAGUCCUCUUCGA